rnacentral:rRNA from 1 species
UACGAAGGGGGCUAGCGUUGCUCGGAUUUACUGGGCGUAAAGGGCGCGUAGGCGGUUCGUACAGUCAGACGUGAAAUUCCUGGGCUCAACCUGGGGGCUGCGUUUGAUACGUGCGGACUUGAGUGCGGAAGAGGGUCGUGGAAUUCCCAGUGUAGAGGUGAAAUUCGUAGAUAUUGGGAAAAACACCGGUGGCGAAGGCGGCGACCUGGUCCGAUACUGACGCUGAGGCGCGAAAGCGUGGGGAGCAAACAGG